rnacentral:misc_RNA from 1 species
GUUUUCAAAGAAAUACAGGCAUCCAACUUUGGACUCAAAACUUGUUCUUAAAGGGUUGAAUGCGGAGGCAAGGUGUGUGGCAAAAGCCAGACGGCUUGGUGUUGCUACUCCAGUGCUUUAUGCUGUUGACCAUGUUAUGCAUACUCUCACCUAUGAAUAUAUUGAAGGUCCUUCUGUGAAAGAUAUAUUUCUUGUCUUUGGACUAGUAGGUGUUGAUGAAGAACAGAUGGUUGAUAUUGCAACGCAAAUUGG